GAAUCUUGGUCUCUGCCACUUCCAGUGACACAUUGGGCAAAUUCCUCACCAUCUCUGAGCCUCAGCUAUAGGAGACCUGUAGGGAGGGUGAAGUUACACCAUCUGGGCAGUAUCUGGCACAGGCUAGAAAUCCUGUGUCAGCCCCGUCCCAGAGGUGCCAGCUGAGGCUCACAUGAGACCUUUCCCCACAUCUCUCCAUACGGGACCUUUACACCUUGCAUACGGCCCACCCCACUCCCAACCAUUCUUCUCCUGAGAUCGUUUGCUGGGGAGUGGGGGGGUGGUGAGGAGAAAGAGGGAAGAAAGGCAGAACGACUCACUCCUAAGGGAUCUGGCUAGAGAUCCGCUCUCCUCCUCCAGCCCUGUCAUGCAGACUCCACUUAGAUACCAAGGGGUGGGAUUGGGUUCCUGGGGAGAAAUUGAGCCUCCUCAGUGCUGCUUGGUCUCAAUCCAGCAGUUCCUGGGUUACCCAAUCCCGGGCUUCCUGAUUGGUUGGCUGUGGUGUAUGGAGGUGGGGUAAAGGAAGCUGCUGAUGGACCGGCAGCAUCCCGGACUCGGGCCCUGGAAGGGGGAGGGGGAAAACGAGGGCUGAGCCGUGGAGGGAGGAGGGAGCCAUUCCUCUCCGCUGACUGCAACCUCGGAGCUCACAGCUCACAUUUCCCUGCAAUCCAGAGGCCUCCUCUGCCGAGAACUCCAUAAUGCUGGAUAUUUUCAUCCUGAUGUUCUUUGCCAUCAUAGGCCUGGUCAUUCUCUCCUACAUCAUCUAUCUGCUCUAGUGCCUGCAGCUGCGGCGGAGCCCACAGGAGAACCGCUCAGGGAAGAAGGAUGAAGCUGGCUAGCCGAGGAUCCUGCUUUGCUGACGCACCGGUGGAUUUUUGCUUCUGGUCAUUAUUUCGGUUCCCGGUCUCCGGUCCAGCAAGAGGCCUCUUAUCAACAGCGGCUGCCCUGCCGCCCAAACAGAUCCCUUCCAGAGCCUUCCGGAUAUGGUCAAGCAAGGGACUUCUGGAAUUCAGAGUCUGAGGCACUCGGCUGGGACAUCAGGAAUUCACGGGCAUGGCUGGCAGGUGUGCGUGCUUUUGAGCUCUAAGCUGAAAACACGGAUAGCUGAAAUGGAGACUUAUUUAAAUGACCCUAGAGAGCUUCUCAAAAUUCAUUUAGAUAGGAGAGCCUUUCCUUAGGUGUUUUCUUUCCCUCACACGAAGGUGUUCCUUUGUUAAGCCCAAAACCACAUUGUCUCUCUUGACCUAGCCACUUCACCCCUGCUGCUAUAGAUUGCACAAUCUGGGGCUGUGUGAUUUCCUUUGACUUAGUCUCUAGCCUGAAGGAACUUGUCAUCUGAGCUUUUAAGAUUUACUUUCCUCGCUCCCCUAACAUUUGCGCUCCCGCUUCUCACUGAAAGAGAGAAACAGUUCUAUAGUUCUCAUUCUUUGUGCGUGGCUGAGUCAUAAAUUAUUGAAACAAGAUGGCUAUGCUUGUUAUUUGGGAGAAAUAUCUCUCUUACUGCAAAGUAAAUGCUUUUUUAAGUUGUCAAAUGUUUCUUUUCUGGAAAAAACCUUUCAACUUAUUUUCUGUCCAAUUCAGGUUGAAGAAACCAUAUAUUUUGGGGUCCAGAAAAGACUGAAAAAUCCAUCAUAAUUGUUUUACAUUUGAUUUUUUAGCUUAAAAAUAAACAAGAAAGAUGAACUUAAUCGGUUUACCGAU